GUUUAAGGCUCGUACAGACUACAUGACUUUGAAACGUAGGUCCGAACUGUGCGGUUCACACUACAUGACUUGCUCUCUGUGAAAUCAGGAGUGUUCACGUUGUUGAGCAGUUCACACCACACGACACAACGUGAAUGCCCCACAACAGGAGGUAACGCACUACACGAGUUGAGAACAACUCUAUUACCCAACGAUUCUAUCUUGUCUACAAACCACGUCCUGUCACGAAAAAUCACGCGAUAAAACAAACCGGAAAUGACGCGAAACAACACGCGCGCCGGUAAAAACCCACAGAAGAAGAAACAAGAAGACGCGCAAAACUUUUGUUUGUAUAUAGACUUCAGACAGAAAUAAGUGCUGCAAACCGUUUGCGCGAUGCAAAGCCGCAAAAGAAAAAAAUAUAGAGAUGUGAUGUGGAGAGGUGGAUCAGAACCACACGCGGACAGCAUGGAUUAAAGAUUUGAGGUGAGUACAGCUUGUUUAUAUAGGAAAUACAGCUGCAUGCUUAUGUUUGGCUAUGAUCACAUUUAAAAUAACAAAGUGUUGUUUACUGUGCCUAAAAGCUGUGUUUCUUGAUUUAAUUAUCGUUCAAAUGGAAUAAGACAGGCUUCGCAAAACAUCAUUUGGAGAGCGUUUGUCUUUGACCCUGCGAUUCUAUGCAACAGGUGACACGUUCAAGUUCAUCAGGUUCAAGUCCAGGAUGGGAGACCAGCACCAUCUCACAAAUAGUUUUGGAUGUUAUGCUCUGUACCAGGUUAUAAAGGACGAUUUCUUGAAGACGCCAUCAACGGAAGGAGAGUGGCAUACAAUAGCCAUGGACUUCGAAAGGAAGUGGCAGUUUCCACAUUGCUUUGGGGUACUUGCUACCACUCCAGCUGUAGCAGACUGCUGACCACAACAUGGUUGAUGGGCAGUGGAAGAAUCAUGGGAUGUGUGCUUUUCAACCGAUAAAAUACACCUCACAUCGCAAUUGUAUGGCAACAGCAAAAGUGCAACGCAAUCUGAUGCGGGGCUACUUUGUCUCACCAGCGGGUAGUGUUUAUUGGCAAGUUCAACACAUUUUAAAAGGAACUGAUGUAGAGUUAUCCCUGCAAACAGCAGAUUAAAGCCAGUUAUUGUCAGUUUAGGACAUUCGUUUUCUUGUGUGUUCUAAAGUCCUGUAUUUGUAAAGAACACACACGUGGUUCACUUAUUCAUUGUUUUAAGUAUUCUGUUUAUUGUUGUUAUUAUUCAAUUAAUUUUAAUUGCAUACAAAUCAAAAGGUGCAGGAAUGUAACAAAGGCAAUCUGCAUGUUGCAAUUAAGUGCCUUAUACUAACUUUAUUUCUUGAUCCACACUCAUUAUUCACAGAACAUUAACAAUGUUUCUAUAAUAGGGCGAUUAAACAUCAACAUAUCUGAUCAUGAUAAAAUUUAUGGCGAUUGUGAUGAUAAGCUCUGGGCAUUUUUACUCAAUGUGGAUUAAUCUAACAGCCAAUCACACACAAUUAUAUUAUGAUAUUUAUAUCUCACCCAGCCCUUAAAGGAGCUCUACACAGGGAGUUUUGUAAUGUUUAAUUGUGUUAAUGUGGCGCACUGCAUGUGUUCUAACAAUGUAUAUAUUUGUCUGUUCACAUAAUAUACAUUCAAAUGUACUACAUUGCACUAAAGCACUUUUCAUAUUGCC